rnacentral:snoRNA from 1 species
GCAGGCAAGUGAUGUGAAAAUAUAUAUGCUAGACACUCAUUGGAUUUUUCCAUGUGUGGACCAAUAAUCUCCGCUUAUUAUCUGAUGCCUCU